rnacentral:lncRNA from 1 species
ACCGGUGGAAACGGUGUCCAGAAACCACUAUUCUAAUCACCGGUGGCGCGGUGUCGAAACCGGUUCCUCACAGAUUACAAGUCGACAGGUCCAACGUAUAAUCCCCAUUGGCGGGGCCAGAACAGAACAGAACAGAUCAUAGCCAUGCUGAGAAUACAUAUAUAUAAAAACAUAUUUCAUAAAUUUUCCAGUCAUAGUUUACGGAUUUCAGAGCAUAAUUUUCAAAUGAAAUUUAACAUGCCAGACCCAUUUUACUAAAUAC